rfam:Pseudomonas agarici strain NCPPB 2472 genome.
AUACGUGUAGGGUGGAGAUGCACAACCGUCGGACUGUGUAGCAUUAGGCUUGUUCAAGACGCUUCAUAUCGUCCACACCCGCGGUUGAUUCCUCCUCCUGACUCAGUUUUGCUUAAGCGGUGCUUAUCCCACCACAGCAAGCAGGAAGCGUCAGUCGCGACUUCGCCUGAAGGUCGAAAUCUCGCUAGACACGGGAGUGGCCAACCACUCCUGACGCACCUGACACCGACCGUGAGAAGUCGUGUGUGCCGAACGCCGUUUCCGGCAGCCCGGAAACCGA